UCUAUUAAAGGAAAAUAGCCCCUCCACUGGCCUUAGGCGCCAAGACUCUUGGUGCAAAUCCAAGUAAUAGAA
rnacentral:tRNA from 5 species